UUAAAUUGAAGAGUUUGAUCAUGGCUCAGAUUGAACGCUGGCGGCAGGCCUAACACAUGCAAGUCGAACGGUAACAGGAAGCAGCUUGCUGCUUUGCUGACGAGUGGCGGACGGGUGAGUAAUGUCUGGGAAACUGCCCGAUGGAGGGGGAUAACUACUGGAAACGGUAGCUAAUACCGCAUAACGUCGCAAGACCAAAGAGGGGGACCUUAGGGCCUCUUGCCAUCGGAUGUGCCCAGAUGGGAUUAGCUAGUAGGUGGGGUAACGGCUCACCUAGGCGACGAUCCCUAGCUGGUCUGAGAGGAUGACCAGCCACACUGGAACUGAGACACGGUCCAGACUCCUACGGGAGGCAGCAGUGGGGAAUAUUGCACAAUGGGCGCAAGCCUGAUGCAGCCAUGCCGCGUGUAUGAAGAAGGCCUUCGGGUUGUAAAGUACUUUCAGCGGGGAGGAAGGGAGUAAAGUUAAUACCUUUGCUCAUUGACGUUACCCGCAGAAGAAGCACCGGCUAACUCCGUGCCAGCAGCCGCGGUAAUACGGAGGGUGCAAGCGUUAAUCGGAAUUACUGGGCGUAAAGCGCACGCAGGCGGUUUGUUAAGUCAGAUGUGAAAUCCCCAGGCUCAACCUGGGAACUGCAUCUGAUACUGGCAAGCUUGAGUCUCGUAGAGGGGGGUAGAAUUCCAGGUGUAGCGGUGAAAUGCGUAGAGAUCUGGAGGAAUACCGGUGGCGAAGGCGGCCCCCUGGACGAAGACUGACGCUCAGGUGCGAAAGCGUGGGGAGCAAACAGGAUUAGAUACCCUGGUAGUCCACGCCGUAAACGAUGUCGACUUGGAGGUUGUGCCCUUGAGGCGUGGCUUCCGGAGCUAACGCGUUAAGUCGACCGCCUGGGGAGUACGGCCGCAAGGUUAAAACUCAAAUGAAUUGACGGGGGCCCGCACAAGCGGUGGAGCAUGUGGUUUAAUUCGAUGCAACGCGAAGAACCUUACCUGGUCUUGACAUCCACGGAAGUUUUCAGAGAUGAGAAUGUGCCUUCGGGAACCGUGAGACAGGUGCUGCAUGGCUGUCGUCAGCUCGUGUUGUGAAAUGUUGGGUUAAGUCCCGCAACGAGCGCAACCCUUAUCCUUUGUUGCCAGCGGUCCGGCCGGGAACUCAAAGGAGACUGCCAGUGAUAAACUGGAGGAAGGUGGGGAUGACGUCAAGUCAUCAUGGCCCUUACGACCAGGGCUACACACGUGCUACAAUGGCGCAUACAAAGAGAAGCGACCUCGCGAGAGCAAGCGGACCUCAUAAAGUGCGUCGUAGUCCGGAUUGGAGUCUGCAACUCGACUCCAUGAAGUCGGAAUCGCUAGUAAUCGUGGAUCAGAAUGCCACGGUGAAUACGUUCCCGGGCCUUGUACACACCGCCCGUCACACCAUGGGAGUGGGUUGCAAAAGAAGUAGGUAGCUUAACCUUCGGGAGGGCGCUUACCACUUUGUGAUUCAUGACUGGGGUGAAGUCGUAACAAGGUAACCGUAGGGGAACCUGCGGUUGGAUCACCUCCUUACCUUAAAGAAGC
rnacentral:rRNA from 1 species